rnacentral:rRNA from 1 species
AGAGCGAACGCUGGCGGCAGGCUUAACACAUGCAAGUCGAGCGGGCGUAGCAAUACGUCAGCGGCAGACGGGUGAGUAACGCGUGGGAACAUACCUUUUGGUUCGGAACAACACAGGGAAACUUGUGCUAAUACCGGAUACGCCCUUACGGGGAAAGAUUUAUCGCCGAAAGAUUGGCCCGCGUCUGAUUAGCUAGUUGGUGAGGUAAUGGCUCACCAAGGCGACGAUCAGUAGCUGGUCUGAGAGGAUGAUCAGCCACAUUGGGACUGAGACACGGCCCAAACUCCUACGGGAGGCAGCAGUGGGGAAUAUUGGACAAUGGGCGCAAGCCUGAUCCAGCCAUGCCGCGUGAGUGAUGAAGGCCCUAGGGUUGUAAAGCUCUUUUGUGCGGGAAGAUAAUGACGGUACCGCAAGAAUAACGCCCCGGCUAACUUCGUGCCAGCAGCCGC